CAACUACGAAAGGAAAGUUAAGUUUCAUUCAAUGAACACUAUUUUCGAGACACCAAUGUCAAAACCGAAACUGAACUCAAAUUUGUUUUAAAAUCAUUAUUGAUGCUUGUUUUGAUAUAGAUUUAUAGCUUUAAGAUCAUCUACAAAAAGGUGUUUAAAAAAAAAAAAUCUGUUUUUUAUUAUUCUCAUAUAAAGUGAUUGUGACAAUAUUUGGAUAUUGAAGAACGUGGAACUAAAAUGUCUUGAAGGUAGCUUUCUUCCAGGAAAAAUGGGUCACAAGAACAGCAUUUGUGUAAUAAUAAUAGUUUUGAUGUCAUGCAGUCAGAAUAACGGAUAUCCUGGGGGUGUGCCUGAUUCAGCUUGUGGUUCUAUGUUUCCUUCUGGUCAUUCUGCCAGACCACAACUAACAACACCACCAUAUAGAAUAAUAGUUCCAAAGAAAACAUAUCAAGCUGGGGAAACUAUUAAAGUGAUGCUAGAAGCAGAAGGCGGAUAUUUUAAAGGUGUAUAUUUACAAGCACGUCUAAUAGGUUGUAAUGUUAAUAUAUCACAAAGUGUUGGGGUAUUUACAGCUAAUGAUAACGAACUACAGACAAGACAUUGUUUUGGACAGGUCCAUUCAACUGUAUCUCAUAAUUCCAAUAGUGCCAAGAGGGUUAAAUAUGUCUACUGGACAGCUCCUGUUAAUCCUUUUGGUCAUGUUAUUCUAAGGGCAACCUUUGUCGAAGAUGCGGCUACAUUUUGGACAAACGUUGUAUCUGAUAUCUUGGUCGACCUACAAUCUACAGAUACGCCCACUUGUUUAACAUCAACGAUGGUACCAUUUUAUGAUUCUGGCGGGAAAAACGUGCCAAAUGGUGAGAAAGUGUUCAGUGUUGGAAGUAAUGGUGCUGUACACGUUUUACAAAAUAUAUGGAGAGUCAUUUUCAUAAAUAUGAUUUUAUUUGAACUUUUCGUUUGCUUUUUAUAAGCUUUUUUUUUU